AAGCUUUCUAUCAGAUAGAUGUGUGAGAGAGACUUGGCUCUAAAAGUCCUUGAUUAAGUUACCUCUCAGCACCAAUUCUGAGGUUCUUACCCUUGAGACUUAUGCUUCAUGUUCAGACCAACCUGGACGACUUUGAGAAGUCUCAAGUGCCUUCAAAUCGGUUCUUUGGCACCAGAGGAAGGCUCUGUGCCUUCAAACAUAGGCCGUAUGGACCGGGGUUGAGGAUUGCUUCGGCAUUCACAGCCAUUGAGAAAGAGGGACCUGGAAAGGCUUCUCAGCUGCAAAGCCCCUUGGACCCAAGACAACCAGAUACUAGUUCUACAAAACUGUCUGUCACUUUGAAAAGUUCUUGGAGAACCGUUGAGACUACC
rnacentral:lncRNA from 11 species